GUGAGGAAUAUUGGUCAAUGGCCGUAAGGCUGAACCAGCCAAGUAGCGUGCAGGAUGACGGCCCUAUGGGUUGUAAACUGCUUUUAAACGGGGAUAAAGUGAGCCACGUGUGGUUUAUUGCAGGUACCGUUUGAAUAAGGACCGGCUAAUUCCGUGCCAGCAGCCGCGGUAAUACGGAAGGUCCGGGCGUUAUCCGGAUUUAUUGGGUUUAAAGGGAGCGUAGGCGGAGCGUCAAGCCAGCAGUGAAAUGUAGCGGCCCAACCGCUGCACUGCUGUUGGAACUGGCGCCCUUGAGUGCACACGAGGCAUGCGGAAUUUGUGGUGUAGCGGUGAAAUGCUUAGAUAUCACGAAGAACUCCGAUUGCGAAGGCAGCGUGCCGGAGUGCAACUGACGCUGAAGCUCGAAAGUGCGGGUAUCGAACAGGAUUAGAUACCCUUGUAGUCC
rnacentral:rRNA from 1 species